rnacentral:rRNA from 1 species
AGAACGAACGCUGGCGGCAGGCCUCAAACAUGCAAGUCUAGGGGGGUAGCAAUACCCACCGGCGGACGGGUGCGUAACACGUGGGAAUAUACCUUUUGGUUCGGAACAACUGAGGGAAACUUCAGCUAAUACCGAAUGUGUCCUUACGGAGAAAGAUUUAUCGCCAAAGGAUUAGCCCGCGUCCGAUUAGCUAGUUGGUGAGGUAAUGGCUCACCAAGGCUCCGAUCGGUAGCUGUUCUGAGAGGAAGAUCAGCCACACUGGGACUGAGACACGGCCCAGACUCCUACGGGAGGCAGCAGUUGGGAAUCUUGGACAAUGGGGAAACCCUGAUCCAGCCAUGCCGCGUGAGUGAUGAAGGCCUUCGGGUUGUAAAACUCUUUCGACGGGGACGAUAAUGACGGUACCCGUAGAAGAAGCUCCGGCUAACUUCGCGCCAGCAGCCGC